UACGGUCACAUCACAUUCAAUCAUCGGUUCCCGUACGGCCACUGAAGUUAAGCAACUUAGAACCUGGUCAUUACCUUGAUAGGUGACCGCUUGGGAAUACCAGGUGCUGUAA